GUAGUUAGCCUUAAUUACGUGCUUGAGGAAUAGUGGUCUGAAAACAGAAUAUAGAAAUCUUAGGUCUCAACUUCGUCACACUCCAGCACAGUAGGUGGCGGUAUGCACCUUUACAGUUUGUUUGCAACCCGCAAAUAAAUCCACAGAAGAUGAAGUAGUAGUUACCUAGCAACGUCAGCUAACCGAGAACGGACGCAUGAGCUCAACUCGUUAACGGCGUGCAGGUUUCUAUGGCCGAAAGUAAGAAUUGAGUCAAUGGAUCCAUUGGAAAUGUGUGUUUGCACUGGAAGAGUGUGAGGAGGCCGUGUGGCUGCGGACAGAACGUGUGCGUGUGUGUGUGUGUGUGUGUGUGUGAGAGAGAGACGUUUUUAAAAGCUAAGGCAGUGCUGAACACACACUCUUUUUACAAAUUUUUACAUUGCCGAAAAUUAAAUAUAAACAUUCUGCGCAAAUACAGAUUAAGAUAAAAAUAAAAUAAAAGUAUAAAGUAUCUAUAUAUACAUAUCAAUAUAAACAGAAAAAGAGCAAAGUAUUGAUGACAGUUCUCAGUGAGGGUGACAGGAUCCUGUCAUAUAAUGUCAGUUUGUGUGUGUUGUGUCAGUGUUUUGUUGUGUUGUGCUGGCUGUUCUUUUGUCAUGGCAGGACUUGACAUAUCUUGCAGCUAGGUUUGAGCUUACUGAGUUUUCUCCCAGUAUGUAUGAAAUCUUGUCCUUUUGUUGAAACUGGAUAAAGUCUUUGUGGAAGUUUGUUAACUGUGGGAAGAAUGUUUCUCUGAUGUGUGUAUAGUUUGGACAUGAGAUUAAAAAGUGCAGCUCUGUUUCCACUUGAUUCUGUGUGCAGUGUGGACUCGCUCUCUCUCUCUUACACACACACACACACACACACCUCUCCCCACCUACCUCUGAGACAAGACUCAUCAUUAACCUUUUGGCAUCUGUAAACUCCUCAGACAGAAGGACAGGGGAGAGAUGUGAGAGCAUUUGUCUCUUCAGCACACAACUGUGUGUUUCUCCUGCUAAUGUUUUUAUGUUCAUUAAACACAUUUUCUAAAUUGUAGUUUUUGAGUUUAAAAAUGAAUUAAUUUCUGCUCUGAGUUAGUUGUUUAAAAUCAAACUUUACUCAGUAGGAGUUUUGACACGGCAGGAGGCUGAUGAUGUUGAAUUCUUGUGUUUACAAAUCUCUCCUGCUGUUUAACGCCACAAACUCUCACACAACAGCUGCUGUCUCUUUGGUUUCUCAUUUUACUUAAACAUUUACUGCAUAUAACCAUUCUUUAAAAACCAUUUAGUUAAUUCAUACUGAAUGUAUGUUUUUGAUCAAUAUUAGAAUGAUUUACCAAAGCAGUGCAGUGUUAUUAAAAUGUGUGUUUUGACUUGGGUUGAUGUCAUGUCCAUAUGUUAACAUGCUCAUCUCAGGUGAUUGCUGUUGUAGAUAAACAGAAGUGA